UCCCUGAUGGUCUGGUGGGUAAGACUCUGCACUUCCACUGCAGGGGGCAUGGGUUUGAUCCCUGGUUGGGGGA
rfam:Ovis aries breed Texel chromosome 1, whole genome shotgun sequence.